rnacentral:rRNA from 1 species
UACGAAGGGGGCUAGCGUUGCUCGGAAUCACUGGGCGUAAAGCGCACGUAGGCGGCUUUCUAAGUCAGGGGUGAAAUCCUGGAGCUCAACUCCAGAACUGCCUUUGAUACUGGAGAGCUUGAGUCCGGAAGAGGUGAGUGGAACUCCGAGUGUAGAGGUGAAAUUCGUAGAUAUUCGGAAGAACACCAGUGGCGAAGGCGGCUAUCUGGACGACAACUGACGCUGAGGCGCGAAAGCGUGGGGAUCAAACAGG